AUAAAGUUCCUUUGUGUAAGAAGUACUACUUGUCAUCAAAAUGGAUAAAAGGAGAUGUAUCUAGAUGUAUUUUAGUUCUAGAUACGUCCCUUUUUAUCCAUUUUGAGGACAAGUAUUUUCGGACGGAGUGAGCUUAUA
rnacentral:pre_miRNA from 1 species